rnacentral:rRNA from 1 species
GACGAACCUUGCUAACGUUAUUCGGAAUUACUGGGCUUAAAGGGCGCGUAGGCGGGCCAGCCAGUCUGUGGUGAAAGCCUCCAGCUUAACUGGAGAAGUGCCGUGGAUACUGCUGGCCUCGAGGAGGAUAGGGGCAUCUGGAACGGUCGGUGGAGCGGUGAAAUGCGUUGAUAUCGACCGGAACUCCGGUGGCGAAGGCGAGGUGCUGGGUCCUUCUGACGCUGAUGCGCGAAAGCCAGGGGAGCAA